ACAUCAGAGCUGGCCUGUUUUUGUCUCCUCACACAUUACAGUUGGGCUGUCUCUCAUCACACAUUACAGUUGGGCUGUCUCUCAUCACACAUUACAGUUGGACUGUCUCUUUCUAUUCACCCAUUACAGUUGGGCUGUCUCUCUCUUCACACACUACAGUUGGACUGUCCCUUUCUCCUCACACAUUACAGUUGGACUGUCCCUUUCUCCUCACACAUUAGAGCUGGCCUGUCUCUUUCUCCUCACACAUUACAGUGGGACUGUCUUUUUCUCCUCACCCAUUACAUUUGGGCUGUCUUUUUCUCCUCACCCAUUACAUUUGGGCUGUCUUUCUCUUCACAAAUUAUAGUUGGACUGUCCCUUUCUCCUCACACAUUAGAGCUGGCCUGUCUCUUUCUCCUCACACAAUACAGUUGGGCUGCCUCUCCACAUUUCAGUGGGGUAUUAAGGUUCACUUUAUCCCAUGUUACAUUCCCCGAGGGGUCUAGUUUCCAAAAUGGUAUGCCAUGUGGUUUUUUUUUUUUGCUGUUCUGGCACCAUAAGGGCUUCCUAAAGGUAACAUGCCCCCCAAAAACCAUUUCAGAAAAACGUACUCUCCAAAAUCCCCUUGUCGCUCCUUCGCUUCUGAGCCCUCUGCUGCGGCCGCCGAACAAUUUACAUAGACAUAUGAGCAUUGAAGGACCUUCACCUGUACUCUCGCAAACUCCUUUUGAAAAAAUUACAUGCCAGGAAAGAAAAUCCAGAUUUUUCCACACUUGAACUUGAGGCCCUACAAACCUUAGAAGAAUUAUUACAAGAGCAAAAUGAACCUGAGCCAGCUCAACUACUGCCAAUUUUUUGGACAUCCAGAUGCACCGACAAUCAGAUGGACACAUCGCUACAGAUAUUUAUAGAAAGGAAACUUCCACAAAUUCGCUUCUUCAUGCCACCUCAUCCCAUAUGCCAUCUACGAUCAGAGCAGUGCCCAUAGAUAUACCUUUGUACACAUGGCAUUAUAAGACACACUGUUACCCUAUGAUAUGAGUCUCGCAUCUUAGUAUGGAAGAUAUAAAGUAUUGCAAGAAGUACGGACUACUUGAAGACCAUUAAGUGAACCAUGGUAGCCAGACUGAUUAAAAAGAAAAAAAGGAAAUGAAUUGGACAAUAUGGUAGUGAAAGGAAUUGUAGUGGGGUUUUGGAUUUGUUUGGGAAUUUUUUAUAAGUGCCACAUAGAUGGCUGUAUAUGCACUUUAAUUAUACUAUAUAAUGGGGAUUUGCCAGCAAUUAAUACUGACAUGAUACACAUGGAUACUUGCACUUUAUGUACAGCACUUUAAUUAUUCUUGUAAUAUGUUAUAAGUAUUUAAUAAUUCCUUUUUUUGCUUUUUUGUUUUUUUCUUUUCACAUAUUAUUUUUGACAUGCAAAUUGUUUAUUUAGCACGAUUCAUUUUAAUACUGGGUUAAUAUUACACUGGGUCUUUUCACUCCAUAUAUGUUCUUACAUGUAUAUGGUUGUAUAGUCUGUCCUAUGGAUUCAUGCAGA